AAAAACGUUGUUUGCUGAUUUGUUGGCGGAUGACACAACACAACGGCAAGUGCUCGAUGAGUAUCGAAAAUAUGCUGCUGCUGGGUUGCUCCAACUACUGCUGAGGUUGUGCUGUGCUACUCCUGUGCCAGAAGAAACUGCGCCGUCAUCACUUUACACACCAUUCUUGCUGCCGAAGAGAAAUGGCACUGCUGGAUGAAGAAGAGGAAGAGAAGGCGGGUGCAGAAGAGGAGUAGAUGAAAAGAUUCGUUUCUCCUACUUUUUCAAUCACCAAUC
ensembl:ncRNA C02C6.8 ncRNA